GGUUCCAGGGUUCCAGGGUUCCAGGGUUCCAGGGUUCCAGGGUUCCAGGGUUCCAGGGUUCCAGGGUUCCAGGGUUCCAGGGUUCCAGGGUUCCAGGGUUCCAGGGUUCCAGGGUUCCAGGGUUCCAGGGUUCCAGGGUUCCAGGGUUCCAGGGUUCCAGGGUUCCAGGGUUCCAGGGUUCCAGGGUUCCAGGGUUCCAGGG
ensembl:ncRNA F57G4.12 ncRNA